rnacentral:tRNA from 1 species
UAGGUCGAUAGCUCAAUUGGUAGAGUCACGGUCUCCAAAACCGUUGGUUGGGGGUUCGAGUCCCUCUCGACCUGCUCA